UUACUUACCUGGACGGGAUCAAUGGGUGAUCAAAAAGGCUCAUGGUCUAGGUUGAUGACCUCCAUUGCACUUAGGAGGGGUGUCCGCCUAAGGUCGGCCCAAGUGGUCGAGCCUACGUCAUAAUUUGUCAGUGGGGGAUUGUGUUCGCGCAGCCCCUUC